rnacentral:rRNA from 1 species
CCUACGGGUGGCAGCAGUGAGGAAUAUUGGUCAAUGGGCGCUAGCCUGAACCAGCCAAGUAGCGUGAAGGAUGAAGGCCCUAUGGGUUGUAAACUUCUUUUAUAGGGGAAUAAAGUGCAGUAGGUAUACUGCUUUGCAGGUACCUUAUGAAUAAGGAUCGGCUAACUCCGUGCCAGCAGCCGCGGUAAUACGGAGGAUCCGAGCGUUAUCCGGAUUUCUUGGGGUGAAAGGGAGCGUAGGCGGGGCGUUAGGUCAGUUUUUAAAGUUUGCGGCCCCACCGUCAACUGUCAGUUGAUACUGGCCUCCUUGAGUUCACUACAGGCAGGCGGAAUUCGUGGUGUAGCGGUGACAUGCUUAGAUAUCACG